UUGCUCGCUUAGGGAGCACAUAUACUAACCAAAACUGCAACCACACGGAGAAGGUUAGCAUGGCCACUGCACAAAGAUGACACACAAAUUCAUGACGCAUUCUGUAUUUUU
rnacentral:snRNA from 1 species